UGGCGCAUGCUUGGGGUGCACAGGUUUUAGGACGUUUUCUCAACACUGCUUUAGAUUUGAGAAGGGCACUACAUCUGCACUACAGAGAGAUAAGGUCAGAGAAUUGGAAAAUGCACAGGAGUUAAAGAAGCCAAAGAGGAAUGUGGCAAAUCCCACGAACCCCGUUGUAAGCCUCUGCCGUCAACCAAACAAAACGAUAAGCAGGGGGAGGAUUACCACAAGACUCCUAGAUGGCUGUUAGAGAAACUUGAAAAUCAUUCAGUUUUAUUAUCCGUUCUGUGUAAGUCAAAAAAUAUUCCACAAAUUUUUGAUAAACAUAACUUAAUGUCUCUAAUGCUUCAUAUGAUUCAAUUUUUCACAACUCCACACACAAAAAAAAAAAAAAAAACAUUACAUUAAUUUCAUUUUAGAAUCAUUAAUUUAACUUUAUAGGUUUGGAUUGUACUUUCUAGCAAAGUUAUCCAUUUUCUAAUAAAGAAUUGCCCAUUACUCAACAUUUGAAGCUAGACCAUCUCGCACACAGUAUGUAGUAAUCUCUCUGUUGCAGUACCAGGAGUUUCAACAAAAGCCCGUUACCUGCAAGAUUUCUCACCACUGCUGCCUAGCUUGUAAGCAGGGUGUUAUGUUUGGGUUUCCCCCUUGCAGCACAGCUGCCUAUUAAACCAUUUGCUGCAGCUUAAGGAUGAAACUGCUGAGUAAUAGAACUCAUUUGCUAUUUGGUACAAAUUAAUAUAAUCAUAAUGAUCAAUACUUAGUUGUGAUUGAAGGGCUGUAACACAGCAUUAUGCCACAACAAUAUUUGUUUUCUUGUAUG